rnacentral:misc_RNA from 1 species
GAGAGAGAGAGAGAGGAAAGAAGGAGAGGGGAGAAAGAGAGGAAGAAAUCAAGAAAUACCUUAUUGCGGUCUCAAGUCUUCUCCAAUGUUGUUGCUGGCAUCAUAAGAGAGAGAAUAGGUUAGGGCUUUUAACUUUAUACUGUUUUAAAACAAAAAUAAAAAAGGAAAAAGAAAACUUGUCGUACUUCCCAAAGGUGUUGCCUUUAACACCUCAUGCCUCGCCUUGGAGCCUUAGGCGCUUGCCUCGUGGGAUGGCGCCUCGCCUUAGCCCUGGCGCGGCGCCUCGCCUCGCCUCGGCUCGGCUGGCACCUUUCCUUGCCUUUAAUAACACAGGAGUGAAUAGUGAGCUAAGGUCUAAUUUCUUUGAAAUUAUCAUAGAUUAUGUGGAGGUGGCUAUUGAAUUUGUAGGAAUGCCUAAUAUUUUAUCGUUUGCCUCCCUUUAUGUGCCCAUGAUGACCAUAAAUUUUCGUUACUUUGUUGUCAUUGUUAUUUAAUGCAAGGAAAGGUAGUGGGCGAGGUGAGGCAACCCCUUAGCGCCUUGCCUGGCUGAGGCGAGUCGAUAUGCCAAGGAGAGCGAUUGAGGCGUUAAAGGCGACGCCUUUGAGAAAUAACGAAAACUUUUCAUUUUUUUUCUUUAGUUUUUGUUUUAAAACAACAAAUAGUUAAAACCCUUAACUUGUUCUCUCCCUCACGACGCCUUCAACAACAUUGAAGAAGACUUGAUACCAUAAUAAGAUAUUUCUCGAUUUCUUCCUCUCUUUUUGUCCUCUUCUUCUUCUUUCCUC